GUGGUUGGCGACGGGGUGGUCGCAGGAGCUGGGGUGCUUGUUUGCUGGCAUGAGCAGGCGGCUAACACGCAUUCGCAGUGCUUCUUGUGGGGAGAAGGUGGAGCUCACGAGAUCAAGUGCGCUGAAGGAGGCGUGUAC
rnacentral:SRP_RNA from 14 species